CACAAGAGCAGCCAUUGUCCCGCGCGCGGACGCUUGCUGUCGCCGAGCAGCUCGGCCCUUCAGACUUAACCCCCAGCGGCCUUGCGGAUGCUGACUAGGAGAGGGGACCGAACUAGCUUAACCCGAGUCGGCCGUGUUGCAGAAUCGGGGCAGGGGGUUGCCUAACCCGAGUUCGUCCUGCCGCAGAGCCGUGCUAGGCACUGAGGCGGUGACAGGCCCAGCCUGGGCUGCGGGCCAGCGGACGCCCAGGUUGGUAGGGGCGUGGGGCAGCGCUUGGUGUCCGAUGCGCGCAUGCGCAGGGUCUACGCGGGAAGCUGGAAGCGGUGUGCAGCUCAGGACCUCAGCACCCUGCUGUGCCUGGAGGAGAGCAUGGAAGAGCAGGAUGAGAAGCCCCCAGAGCCCCCGAAGGUCUGUGCACAGAGUCUUGCUCUGUCGUCCAGGUUGGAGUGCAGUGACACAAUCCUAGCUCACUGCCGCCUCAAACUUCUGGGCUCAAGCCAUCCUCCUGCCUCAGCCGCCUGAAUAGGUGGGACUACAG
rnacentral:lncRNA from 10 species